UACGGAGGGUGCAAGCGUUAUCCGGAUUCACUGGGUUUAAAGGGAGCGCAGGCGGAUUGGUAAGUCAGUGGUGAAAGCCUUAAGCUUAACUUGGGAACUGCCAUUGAUACUAUUAGUCUUGAAUGUUGUUGAGGUUUGCGGAAUGGGUCAUGUAGCGGUGAAAUGCAUAGAUAUGACCCGGAACACCUAUUGCGAAGGCAGCAGGCUAAACAAAUAUUGACGCUGAGGCUCGAAAGCGUGGGGAUCAAACAGG
rnacentral:rRNA from 1 species